UUGUCAUAUCUAUAGGAAACUAGUUGAAGAGGUUUGUCUUGUUCACUUUUAUUGUUACAGAUCUCCUGGUCCAGUCUGAUAUCUACCUGACUGACCCAAUGGGAGGGGUCUUCAGGGGCCACCAGGGGCCUGAGAUGUUCAGGGGCUACAACUUCACCAUCACCUGCUCCACUCAGCCACAGUACCCAGGAGGCUCCUUCCUCCUCAAGUUCACUGGCUCCAACAGAACCCAGACCCAGCCAGCUGUCAAUCACUCUGCUGCCUUCCUCUUCCCUGCUGCAGAUGACUCCCACCAAGGGAACUACAGAUGUGUUUAUGACAAUUAUGUUUUCUCUCAUAACUUCUCCUCUGAGAGUGAGCUCCUCUCCCUCACCAUCACAGCCUCUCCUCUGCCAGCCUUCAUCAUCAGACACGUUGUAGUGCUGCUGAUCCUACUGACAACAAUCACCACCUCCUACCUGUACUACAAGCCCACCAGGAGGCAGAAGAGAGUGAACAGGGUGAGCAGCAUGGAUCUUUAUGUCAAUGCCAUGGAGAUGGUCUCUCUGAGCUCCAGAGCUGAAGCUGGACCGGGAGAGGAGAGAGCAGCCCAGGGGACGGAGUAGGAGUAGAAUGAAGCUGACCCUACAUGCUGAUCUUAGGUCAGUUUUGUGUUUUAAAUUGAUAGUCAGCAGUGGACUGGUGUUUAAAAUGUGGUGACAAACCUGAAGUGGUUUUAAUUGUAAUAACAAGUUCAGAAUUAUUUUAUCUUUCUAGAACCUUGGAAGAAAUCUAAAAGGAGUUACUGCAACCACCAUUAUUCAUUUAGUUUGGUUUUUACGACCAGGGAAACAUGGGGUUUUGGGUAACAUGGGGUUUGGGUAACAUGGGGUUUUGGGUAACAUGGGGUUUGGGUAACAUGGGGUUUUGGGUAACAUGGGGUUUGGGUAACAUGGGGUUUUGGGUAACAUGGGGUGUUGGGGUGUUGGGUAACAUGGGGUUUUUGGGUAACAUGGGGUUUUGGUAACAUGGGGUGUUGGGUAACAUGGGGUUUUUGGGUAACAUGGGGUUUUUGGGUAACAUGGGGUUUUGGGUAACAUGGGGUUUGGGUAACAUGGGGUUUUGGGUAACAUGGGGUUUGGGUAACAUGGGGUUUUGGGUAACAUGGGGUUUGGGUAACAUGGGGUUUUGGGUAACAUGGGGUGUUGGGUAACAUGGGGUGUUGGGUAACAUGGGGUUUUGGUAACAUGGGGUGUUGGGUAACAUGGGGUUUUUGGGUAACAUGGGGUUUUGGGUAACAUGGGGUUUGGGUAACAUGGGGUUUUGGGUAACAUGGGGUUUGGGUAACAUGGGGUUUGGGUAACAUGGGGUUUUGGGUAACAUGGGGUUUGGGUAACAUGGGGUUUGGGUAACAUGGGGUUUUGGGUAACAUGGGGUUUGGGUAACAUGGGGUUUUGGUAACAUGGGGUUUUGGGUAACAUGGGGUUUGGGUAACAUGGGGUUUUGGUAACAUGGGGUUUUGGGUAACAUGGGGUUUUUAUUAUUUUAAGAGAGUAGCUCAAUUACGUCUGUUUUUUGUUCCAGAAUAUAUUGAUUUUGUCUUUAUCUUAUUUAGUGUCUCUUAGAUUCUUUAUCUUAUUUAGUGUCUCUUAGAUUCUUUAUCUUAUUUAGUGUCUCUUAGAUUCUUUAUCUUAUUUAGUGUCUCUUAGAUUCUUUAUCUUAUUUAGUGUCUCUUAGAUUCUUUAUCUUAUUUAGUGUCUCUUAGAUUCUUUAUCUUAUUUAGUGUCUCUUAGAUUCUUUAUCUUAUUUAGUGUCUCUUAGAUUCUUUAUCUUAUUUAGUGUCUCUUAGAUUCUUUAUCUUAUUUAGUGUCUCUUAGAUUCUUCAUCUUAUUUAGUGUCUCUUAGAUUCUUUAUCUUGAAGUGUUUCCAUUAUUAGUCCAGGUAUUAUUAUAAUCAUCUGUUCAUUCUUUGUAUUUUGAAACAUUUUUUAAUAAAGGGGUUUGUUGUUGUUUACCUCAUGAUGUUAUUGAUUAUAAACGUUAUGAUAUUGAUUAUGAAGUAGAUUAGUGUUAUGUUGUUAGUAGUAUAGAGAUAAUGAUGUUAUUGAUUAUAAAUGUUAUAUUGAUUAUGAAGUAGAUUAUUGUUGUGAUGUUGCUCUCUAAACUGCCAUGUAAUCAACUGAAUGCUUUUAAUAAAAUUACAGGCUGU
ensembl:lncRNA